AGAGUGUUAUGAUGUUGGAAGGCAACUUCCGAGUCUAGCUCGUCGCUGGCCCCUUGGUUUUUAAUCAAGGGG
rfam:Enterococcus aquimarinus strain DSM 17690 Scaffold2, whole genome shotgun sequence.